rnacentral:rRNA from 1 species
GACGAACGCUGGCGGCGUGCUUAACACAUGCAAGUCGAACGGAAAGGCCCUGCUUGCAGGGUGCUCGAGUGGCGAACGGGUGAGUAACACGUGGGUGAUCUGCCCCUUACUUUGGGAUAAGCCUGGGAAACUGGGUCUAAUACUGGAUAGGACCAUGCUGUAGGUGGUGUGGUGGAAAGAUUAGUUUCGGUAAGGGAUGAGCUCGCGGCCUAUCAGCUUGGUGGUGGGGUAAUGGCCUACCAAGGCGUCGACGGGUAGCCGGCCUGAGAGGGUGGACGGCCACAUUGGGACUGAGAUACGGCCCAGACUCCUACGGGAGGCAGCAGUGGGGAAUAUUGCACAAUGGGCGCAAGCCUGAUGCAGCGACGCCGCGUGGGGGAUGACGGCCUUCGGGUUGUAAACUCCUUUCAGCCAUGACGAAGCCCUUGUGGUGACGGUAGUGGUAGAAGAAGCACCGGCUAACUACGUG